rnacentral:rRNA from 1 species
AACGAACGCUGGCGGCAGGCCUAACACAUGCAAGUCGAGCGAAGCCUUCGGGCUUAGCGGCGGACGGGUGAGUAACGCGUGGGAACGUGCCUCUUGGUACGGAAUAGCCCCGGGAAACUGGGAGUAAUACCGUAUGUGGUCGAGAGACGAAAGAUUUAUCGCAAAAGGAUCGGCCCGCGUUGGAUUAGGUAGUUGGUGGGGUAAUGGCCUACCAAGCCGACGAUCCAUAGCUGGUUUGAGAGGAUGAUCAGCCACACUGGGACUGAGACACGGCCCAGACUCCUACGGGAGGCAGCAGUGGGGAAUCUUAGACAAUGGGGGAAACCCUGAUCUAGCCAUGCCGCGUGAUCGAUGAAGGCCUUAGGGUUGUAAAGAUCUUUCAGUGGGGAAGAUAAUGACUGUACCCACAGGAGAAGCCCCGGCUAACUCCGUGCCAGCCGCCGCUGUAA